UACGGAGGAUGCGAGCGUUAUCCGGAUUUAUUGGGUUUAAAGGGUGCGUAGGCGGACGCUUAAGUCAGCGGUAAAAUUGCGGGGCUCAACCUCGUCGAGCCGUUGAAACUGGGUGCCUUGAGUGGGCGAGAAGUACGCGGAAUGCGUGGUGUAGCGGUGAAAUGCAUAGAUAUCACGCAGAACUCCGAUUGCGAAGGCAGCGUACCGGCGCCCAACCGACGCUGAAGCACGAAGGCGUGGGUAUCGAACAGG
rnacentral:rRNA from 1 species